AACCAUAGAAACCUGCGGAGUACCUGCGGAAGGAUCAUUACAGAGUUGCAAAACUCCCACAAACCAUCGCGAAUCUUACCCGUACGGUUGCCUCGGCGCUGGCGGUCCGGAAGGCCCUCGGGCCCCCGGACCCUCGGGUCCCCCGCUCGCGGGGGGCUGCCCGCCGGAGUGCCGAAACCAAACUCUUGAUAUUUUAUGUCUCUCUGAGUAAACUUUUAAAUAAGUCAAAACUUUCAGCAA
rnacentral:misc_RNA from 1 species